rnacentral:lncRNA from 1 species
GCAGGAGUGGGGAGGAGGCCGGCUCUCUGUCUGUCCUGGGGCCAUGCUCACAUGUCUGCUGCCCAGUGUGGGCCGUUCUGAUACUCAGAGAUCUGGGGGUUUGGGGAGAGGCAACAAGCCCGUGCAUCUAGGAGGGCGCAGAGAAAAGCUGCCUCCAGCCCGGAGGCUCCUCUCUGCUCUUGCCUCUUUCAAGGCCCUCCCUUUUGAUGACCUGUAUUUUCAUCUCUCCUCCCUCCCCUUCUGCUUCCCCCAGCCUCCUCCCAAGCCUCCCACGCCGGGCAGUCUCCAUUCCCCUCGGCUGUUCCUGCCCAUCUCUACCCUGCAAGUGUGAGUGUGCGGCUGCACUAGCUGCUCCCUGACCGGGGGCCUCUGAUGGGGUUUGGCCAGUGGGAGGCACCAGCAGGAGAUCAGAGGGUAGGGGGACAACGGAUGGGGUGGAUCCGGGCCUGCUAACACCAAAGGCCCUGGCAGCAACUGCUCAGCUGGCUCCUCCACACCCACUGAUACGGUUUGGCUGUGUCCCCACCCAAAUCUCAUCUUGAAUUAUAGCUCCCAUAUCUCCCACAUGUUGUGGGAGGGACCUAGUGGGACAUAAUUGAAUCAUGGGGCGGUUUCCCCCAUACUGUUCUCGUGGUAGGGAAUAGGUCUCAUGAGAGCUGAUGAUUUGAUAAGGGGAAACCUCUUGUGCUUGGCUGUCAUUCUCUCGACUGCUGCUGUGUGAGACGUGCCUUUCACCUCCUGCCAUGAUUCUAAGGACUCCCCGGCCACGUGGAACUGCUUCCAGGGCUGUGGGGCCAAAUGUGCCCUCUCCUGCCCUCAUGGCAGCCUCAGUUCCUGAGUUCUCAUCAUUUCUUCCUUGCUACAAUCAGAACUGAGUCUAGCACCCUUCAGGACAAAUCCAGAUCCCCAGGAGAGACAGCCUGAUGAGUUCAGCUUGGAAAGGGUCUGUUCCUGUCCUAUCAGCUGUGGCCAGCGUGCCAGGGUCACGUACCAGUGCGACUGCCACAGCACGGCCCAUCUGUCCAGGAGUAGUUCUCAGUCAACGGGCUCCAGCUGGGACUCAGGCUGAAUAGAUGCCCACAAGGAUGUCUGCUACCACAUGUAAAGUGCCCCAAAGCAGGACAAGUGCUCAGCAAGUGUGGCCCGUAUGAUUAAGGGAAUUCUGUGUCUGUCUGAGAAGAAAGUGGCGAUGAGCAAUAACAAGGCCUGUCGUCCAUCUGGAAGAACUCCAGCCACCCCCCAAACUUUCAGGUGCAUAGAACCACCUGGACAUAAGACACAAACAUUGUUACCCCAAAAAGGAAAAAAAUUAUUUGGACUAUAUUAAAAUAAAAUAUUUGUUUAUCAAAAUACAUCAUUAAGAGUAAAAAGGCAAGACAGCAAGUUGAAGAAGAUAUUUGCAAUACACAUAGCCAGGAAAGGACAAGAACCCAGAAUAUAUAAAGAACUCCUAUAAAUCAGUAAGAAAAAGACAAUCUGAUUAAAACAUUGGCAAAAGAUCUGAAGAGGCACUUCACAAAAGAGGAUGCCCAAAUGGCCAAUAAACAUAAGAAAAUGUGCUCAACAUCAUUAGUCAUCAGGGAAAUGCAAGUUGAAGCAUAAAAUGGUAUCACUCCACACCCACAAGCAUGGCUGGGAUGAAAAGAGAGAUGCGCCCAGUGCUGACGAGGAUGUGCAUCAACUGGAACUCUCAGACACUGCAGGUGGGUGUCUAAAUUGGUACAGCCACUUUGGAAAAUUGUUCAGCUGUAUUUGUUAAACCUGAACACAAGCAAAUCCUAUCUGUGAUGCCACAAUUCUGCUGAUCGACAUAUCUCCAUCAGAAAUGUAUACAAAUGUCCACAGAGAUACAUGUCAUCGAAUUUUCAUGGCAGCCCUCUUUUGAUAUCCCAAAGCUGGAAACAACCCAAUGCCCAUCAACAGCAGAAUGCAUACAAAUUGUGGUACAAUCAUAGGCUGGAAUGCUACUCAGCAUUGAGAAUAAACAAACCACAACUGCAUAUAAUGGUAUGAAUGAGUCUCACAAAUAAUGUCAAGUAAAAAAGAGCCAGACACAGGUGUCUGUAUAAUUCUAUACACGUGAAAUUCAAAUGCAGGCAAAACAGAACUGAGCUGUCAGGAGUCAGGAUACUGGCCUUGUUUGGACAGCUUAGUAACCGGAAGGGACAUGAGGGGUUUGUGAGGGCCUGUAAAUAUUCUAUUUCUCUACCUGGGUAGACAUUAAGCAGAUGUGGAGUUUGUGAAAACGCAUGGAGCAAUUCACCUAUUACUUCUACACUUUUCUACAUUUAUGUACCCACUAAUAUCAUUUUUUGGGGAAAAAAAAAACCCAG